GAUUAACGCUGGCGGCGUGCCUAAUGCAUGCAAGUCGAACGUGGUCCCUUCGGGGGCAAACGUGGCGGACGGGUGAGGAACACGUGGGGAACCUGCCCAUUGGUGGGGGGUAGCCCGCGG
rnacentral:rRNA from 1 species